rnacentral:misc_RNA from 1 species
GAUGAAGAACGCAGCGAAAUGCGAUACGUAAUGUGAAUUGCAGAAUUCAGUGAAUCAUCGAAUCUUUGAACGCACAUUGCACUCUCUGGUAUUCCGGAGAGUAUGCUUGUUUGAGUAUCAGUAAACACCUCAAAUCUCUUGUUUCUUGUGAAUAAGAGAAUUGGACUUGAGCAAUCCCAACUCUUGCAAAAGAGGCGGGUUGCUUGAAAUGCAGGUGCAGCUGGACAUUCUUCUGAGCUAAAAGCAUAUUUAUUUAGUCCCGUAAAACGGAUUAUUACUUUUGCUGUAGCUAACAUAAAGGUUGAAUGGCCAAUAUGGCUGACUGAUGCAGGAUUAACAGAGAAUUUAUUCUUUGUAAACUCGAUCUCAAAUCAAGUAAGACUACCCGCUGAACUUAAGCAUAUCAAUAAGCGGAGGA